ACCUCGUUAGCUCAGUGGCAAAGCACUGGUCUCGUAAACCAGCGGUCGAGGGUUCAAAUCCCUCACGGGGCU
rnacentral:tRNA from 1 species